AAGAUGUCUCAGUAAGUCCUUGUAGUUUUAUCUUUGAUGCUCCCAGUGUGCUUGGAUUCCAGGACUCUGUUUUAAGGCAAUCCCAGCUUUGAGAAGAAGAGCUUGUCUUUCAGCUCCAUGAGAUGUCUCAGUAAGCCUCUCUCUGUGGUUUUAUCAGCUCUGGAUGGUUCUUGACACAGCUAGUAUUGUGUGGUUCCAGGAAUCCCGAUCUAAGAGCAAGAUAGAUCAUGCUUUGAAUUUCCACUCAACUUUGGCUGGAAACUGUGGUGAGCGAGUGUCAACCGUAUAUGCUCCCUGACAUCACACUUUCUUAUGUCUUAAGAAUCGCUGUUUUUAAGACAAUGCCAUCUUCGAGAGGAGCAA
rnacentral:lncRNA from 1 species